rnacentral:misc_RNA from 1 species
AACGCACAUUGCACCCUCUGGUCAUUCCGGAGGGUAUGCCUGUUUGAGUGUCAUUUUCAACUAUCAAUGUUGUUCAUUUUUGUUAGUGAGCUAACAUUGGACUUUGAAGGUUAUGCUGGUCCUGUUGACUUAGCUCCUUUGAAAUACAUUAGUGGCUUUCAAUGGCUAAACACCAUCAGUAUAAUUAUUCUUGAAGGUGGAACGCCAAAUUUGAAACCGCUUUCUAAUGGUCUUUUCGAAGACAAAUUUUGAAAUGACUUUGACCUCAAAUCAGGUAGGACUACCCGCUGAACUUAA